rnacentral:rRNA from 1 species
AUUGCCCUAGUAACGGCGAGUGAAGCGGCAACAGCUCAAAUUUGAAAUCUGGCGUCUUUGGCGUCCGAGUUGUAAUUUGCAGAGGGCGCUUUGGCAUUGGCAGCGGUCCAAGUUCCUUGGAACAGGACGUCACAGAGGGUGAGAAUCCCGUACGUGGUCGCUAGCCUUUACCGUGUAAAGCCCCUUCGACGAGUCGAGUUGUUUGGGAAUGCAGCUCUAAAUGGGAGGUAAAUUUCUUCUAAAGCUAAAUACUGGCCAGAGACCGAUAGCGCACAAGUAGAGUGAUCGAAAGAUGAAAAGCACUUUGGAAAGAGAGUUAAAAAGCACGUGAAAUUGUUGAAAGGGAAGCGCUUGCAGCCAGACUUGCCUGUAGUUGCUCAUCCGGGUUUUUACCCGGUGCACUCUUCUAUAGGCAGGCCAGCAUCAGUUUGGGCGGUUGGAUAAAGGUCUCUGUCAUGUACCUCUCUUCGGGGAGAACUUAUAGGGGAGACGACAUGCAACCAGCCCGGACUGAGGUCCGCGCAUCUGCUAGGAUGCUGGCGUAAUGGCUGUAAGCGGCCCGUCUUGAAACACGGACCAAGGAGUCUAACAUCUAUGCGAGUGUUUGGGUGUCAAGCCCGAACGCGUAAUGAAAGUGAACGGAGGUGGGAACCUUUCGGGGUGCACCAUCGACCGAUCCUGAUGUCUUCGGAUGGAUUUGAGUAAGAGCAUAGCUGUUGGGACCCGAAAGAUGGUGAACUAUGCUUGAAUAGGGUGAAGCCAGAGGAAACUCUGGUGGAGGCUCGCAGCGGUUCUGACGUGCAAAUCGAUCGUCAAAUUUGGGCAUAGGGGCGAAAGACUAAUCGAACUA